rnacentral:rRNA from 1 species
GUUCAAGCUAAGAAGAGCACAAGGGGAAUGCCUUGGCACCAGGAGCCGAAGAAGGACGCGAUAAGCUGCGAAAAGCUGCGGGGAGGCGCAAAUAGCCGUAAUAUCCGCAGGUGUCCGAAUGGGGAAACCUUACAUGGGUAAGACCAUGUAACCGUAUACUGAAUACAUAGGUAUACGGAGGGAACCCGCCGAACUGAAACAUCUAAGUAGGCGGAGGAAAAGAAAUCAACCGAGAUUUCGCGAGUAGUGGCGAGCGAAAGCGAAAGAGGCCAAACCGGCGAUAGCAAUAUUACCGGGGUAAGGACUGCAAAAAUCGAAUUGGAGAAUAGGAGAAUGACCUGGGAAGGUCAACCGAAGAAGGUGAGAGUCCUGUAACCGAAAUUUGAAGAUAAGAAAGCAGAAUCCGGAGUACGUGCGGACACGAGAAAUCCGCAUGGAAGAAGGGGGGACCACCCUCCAAGCCUAAAUACUAACUGGUGACCGAUAGUGAAGCAGUACUGUGAAGGGAAGGUGAAAAGCACCCCGGAAGGGGAGUGAAAUAGAACCUGAAACCUUGUGUUUACAAGCACACAAAGAGCGUUAAAGCUCGAUGUGGUACUUUUUGUAGAACGGUCCGGCGAGUUUAUGAUUGCAGCAAGGUUAAGCACUUAAGGUGUGGAGCCGAAGGGAAACCGAGUGUUAAAAGCGCGACAAGUUGCAGGCAUAAGACCCGAAACCGGGUGACCUACCCAUGUCCAGGAUGAAGUAGCGGUAAAACGCUAUGGAGGUCCGAACCGACCCCUGUUGAAAAAGUGGCGGAUGAGGUGUGGGUAGCGGAGAAAUUCCAAUCGAACCCGGAUAUAGCUGGUUCUCCCCGAAAUAGCUUUAGGGCUAGCCUUGUGGGGAUAUUAUCGGAGGUAAAGCACUGAAUUGAUACGGGGCCGAGAGGUUACUAAAUCAUAUCAAACUAAGAAUGCCGAAUAAUAAUACACAGGAGUCAGACUACGAGAGAUAAGUCCCGUGGUCAAAAGGGAAACAGCCCAGAUCUACAGCUAAGGUCCCAAAUAUAUGCUAAGUGGAAAAGGAUGUGGCGAUGCACAGACAACCAGGAUGUUGGCUUAGAAGCAGCCACACAUUCAAAGAGUGCGUAAUAGCUCACUGGUCGAGUGACGCUGCGCCGAAAAUUUAACGGGGCUAAGCAUAUAACCGAAGCAUAGGCAGUUGAAAUACACUGGGUAGGGGAGCGUUCUGUACGAGGCGAAGUCGCAGCGGAAGCAGCGGUGGAUUGUACAGAAGUGAGAAUGCCGGAAUGAGUAGCGAGAAUUGCGUGAGAAUCGUAAUGGCCGAAAGUCUAAGGUUUCUAGGGGCAGGUUCGUCCGCCCUAGGUAAGCCGGGAGCUAAGGUGAGGCCGGAAGGCGUAGCCGAUGCACAUACGGUAGAAAUUCCGUAGCCAUCAAAAUAUUUAAAUACACUGACACCGAAAAGGAUUCUGACCCGGGCGAUGGUAGCCCCGGGCGAAAGGGACUGAAAUUAGAGUAGGGAAGCAGGAAAAUGAUCGGGCGAGAAAAGGUGUAUGAAUAUAUGAGAUGUCCGUACCGCAAACCGACACAGGUAGAUGGGAUGAGAAUUCUAAGGCCAACGGGAGAAGGGUUGUUAAGGAACUAGGCAAAAUAACCCCGUAACUUAGGGAGAAGGGGAGCCACAGAAAUGUGGCCGCAGCGAAAAGGCCCAGGCGACUGUUUAGCAAAAACACAGGUCUCUGCAAAACCGAAAGGUGAAGUAUAGGGGCUGACGCCUGCCCGGUGCCGGAAGGUCAAGGGGACGUGUAAGGAGCAAUCCGAAGCACAGAACUUAAGCCCCGGUCAACGGCGGCCGUAACUAUAACGGUCCUAAGGUAGCGAAAUGCCUUGUCAGGUAAGUUCUGACCCGCACGAAUGGCGUAACGAUCUGGGCACUGUCUCAACAGCCCGCCCGGCGAAAUUGUAGUACCGGUGAAGAUGCCGGUUACCCGCGAUUAGACGGAAAGACCCCAUGGAGCUUUACUGCAGCUUGAUACUGAACCUCGGUAUAUUAUGUACAGGAUAGGUGGGAGACAGAGAAGCAUUAACGUCAGUUAGUGUGGAGUCGCCGUUGGGAUACCACUCUUAAUGUACUGGGGUUCUAACCUACACCAUUGAAUCAUGGUGGGGGACAAUGUCAGGUGGGCAGUUUGACUGGGGCGGUCGCCUCCAAAAGAGUAACGGAGGCGCUCAAAGGUUGGCUCAGCACGGACGGAAAUCGUGCAAAGAGUGUAAACGCAAAAGCCAGCCUAACUGUGAGACCAACAAGUCGAACAGUAACGAAAGUUGGAGUUAGUGAUCAGGUGGUAGUGAGUGGAAAUGCCAUCGCUUAACGGAUAAAAGCUACCCUGGGGAUAACAGGCUGAUUUCCCCCAAGCGUUCACAGCGACGGGGAAGUUUGGCACCUCGAUGUCGGCUCAUCACAUCCUGGGGCUUGGAGCAGGUCCCAAGGGUUCGGCUGUCCGCCGAUUAAAGUGGUACGCGAGCUGGGUUCAGAACGUCGUGAGACAGUUCGGUCCCUAUCUGUCGUGGGCGCAGGAUAUUUGAGAGGAGCUGUCCUUAGUACGAGAGGACCGGGAUGGACAUACCUCCGGUGCACCGGUUGUUCCGCCAGGAGCAUAGCCGGGUAGCUGUGUAUGGAAGUGAUAAACGCUGAAAGCAUCUAAGCGUGAAGCACACCUCAAGAUUAGAUAUCCCAUAACAAAAGUUAGUAAGGUCACUUGUAGACUACAAGUUAGAUAGGUCGGAGGUGUAAGUGCAGCAAUGUAUUUAGCUGACCGAUACUAAUAGACCGAGGGCUUGAACUA